ensembl:snRNA U6 U6 spliceosomal RNA
GUACUCACUUUGGCAGGGCAGGUGCUAAGAUUGGAACGAUGCAGAGGUUAGCAUGGCCCCUGCCCAGGGAUGACACACAAAAUCAUGACGUAUUCCAUAUUUUU